CCUAAGCAACAUGAACCAAGACAAAAGAGAUGUUACUGCAUAUAGCACACUGUAGAUUUCGAUGAGAAAGUAAGUCAAAAAGGGAAAUAUUUGGGUAGUAACCAAACUAGCUUAAAAUGAUGCUAGUACUGUCAUCUAAUGGUUGUGUUGGUUUACAGGGAAGCAUUCCGGCUGAAGGAUGAAAAGAAGAAUACCAUAGCAGAGCAGGUAAUGAGCAAAUGGAGACAAUAUACAGCAUUGGGUGUUUAGAUAGAGGAGAAUCGAUUGCUCGCAUACCCUUUGUGACACAAAAAGAUAAAAUUGUCUCUGCGUAUAUGAAUGUGUUUAAAUCCUGACACUGGAGAUCCUGCUGUUGAGCUAGAAAGAAAUAUUCCAUUUCCAAAAAUUGCAACUGUACCAGAAUCACCAUUAACCACUUAUCAGGAGCUUAAUGAUGGAAGAAGAUCCAAAAUCAAGCGCAUAUGUUGGUUCAAGGUAAAGGCAUAUAAAAACUGUACCACAACUUGACAAAGGAGCUGGAUCUAUAACAAGGCCGAUAUGCUGCAGUCUGGUGACUGACUUGAUUUCAACAACAUUUAAGGGCAAAUUGAUUUAUGUUUAUCUGAAACAUGAGGAAUUGUUUCUUCCCUGGCUAGCAAUGCAAGAGUGGCUAGCUAAGGAAAUGAGAAAAUAAUUUGGCACAGUACCAGAACAAUGUAGUAACUCUUUCUCCCUAUUCUAGAAGAGCAAACAAAAAGUCAAUCAUCUAAGAAGCCAUGCCUAUCUGACAAAUCAGAAAUUAUUCUUUCCUAGCAACAAUACAGAGCUAGGGAACAAGCAAUUGUGCACCCGAGCUACAAGUAACUGCACUACUGAAGCAGAACCUAAACCAGCAUCCAUUAUGACAAAGUAAGGAACUAAGUAGAAUUUGCAAUAGGUGGUAACUAGUAGCUCAACCUCAAAUGCAUUAUCAAAUAUCACGACAUCAAAUUAAUAAA
rnacentral:lncRNA from 1 species